rnacentral:rRNA from 1 species
UACAGAGGGUGCUAGCGUUGUUCGGAAUCAUUGGGCGUAAAGGGCGUGUAGGCGGUUUGUUAAGUCAUGUGUGAAAUCCCUCGGCUCAACCGGGGAACGACGCAUGAAACUGGCAAGCUAGAGUACCAAAGAGGGUCGCGGAAUUCCCGGUGUAGAGGUGAAAUUCGUAGAUAUCGGGAGGAACACCGGUGGCGAAGGCGGCGACCUGGGUAGAUACUGACGCUGAGGUGCGAAAGCGUGGGGAGCAAACAGG